AACGCACAUUGCGCCCGCCAGUAUUCUGGCGGGCAUGCCUGUUCGAGCGUCAUUUCAACCAUCAGGCCCUGUCCAGCCUGUGUUGGGGCCCUGCGGCUGCCGCAGCCCCCUAAAUGUAGUGGCGGGCUCGCUGUUACCCCGAGCGCAGUAGCGUAUCUCGCUCUGGGCGUGGCGGCGGGUGCUAGCCGUGAAACACUCACUAAGGUUGACCUCGGAUCAGGUAGGAAUACCCGCUGAACUUAA
rnacentral:misc_RNA from 1 species